rnacentral:rRNA from 1 species
UUGAACGCUGGCGGCAGGCCUAACACAUGCAAGUCGAGCGGAUGAAGGGAGCUUGCUCCUGGAUUCAGCGGCGGACGGGUGAGUAAUGCCUAGGAAUCUGCCUGGUAGUGGAGGAUAACGUCCGGAAACGGGCGCUAAUACCGCAUACGUCCUGAGGGAGAAAGUGGGGGAUCUUCGGACCUCACGCUAUCAGAUGAGCCUAGGUCGGAUUAGCUAGUUGGUGGGGUAAAGGCCUACCAAGGCGACGAUCCGUAACUGGUCUGAGAGGAUGAUCAGUCACACUGGAACUGAGACACGGUCCAGACUCCUACGGGAGGCAGCAGUGGGGAAUAUUGGACAAUGGGCGAAAGCCUGAUCCAGCCAUGCCGCGUGUGUGAAGAAGGUCUUCGGAUUGUAAAGCACUUUAAGUUGGGAGGAAGGGCAGUAAGUUAAUACCUUGCUGUUUUGACGUUACCAACAGAAUAAGCACCGGCUAACUUCGUG